rnacentral:lncRNA from 1 species
UUUCUCCAUCCUAGUAAUCAAAUUUGAGCAAAAUCAAAUGGGGCUUUCUAUGAAAGUACCUUUUGUUGAUCUGAACGAGCUGGUAAUUUACAAAAUACCCUUCCUUUGUGAGGAAGGCUAAAGAAAAAAAGAAUCAGUAGCUUUUAAAGCUGGGCCUUAGUGGGACUCUAAAUGCAAUGAAAGCAGUCUGUGUUGAGAGACUGAAAUGCAUUUCAAAGCCAGGCCUGAUUCGGGGUACAAGGAAGAACAGACCUAUGUGCAUUUUGUAGGAAGAAAACUGUGAAUGGAAAAAGGAGAAGGGGAGAGAAACGGGGGAAAUCUGGAUAAUACAUUAAAGUAACCAUAAUUUUGGAGAUGCAUUCAUCUUAUUGAAAAUAUAUUUCCUCAUGGUUGUGAUUCCUCUUCACUCUUUUGAAUUUGGAAGGAUGGCAUACACAUCUGAAAAAUACCACUACUUCCUUCAUUGGACUGCAAGGUAUUUCUGUUUGGAAAAGUAAUGGAGUCCAGUCAACUUCAUUGAUCGCCAAGGACUGUCAAAAUUAUAAAACUUGCUGUGGAGCUCUGACAUGCCAGAAGCCGCUAGAAAAAGAAGUUUGACAUUCAGAAACUUAUCAAGAGGUUCUACUCUUUGGAUAGAGACCAAAAUCAUACUUUGAAUGAUAUGCAAUGCAAGACUCCCAAGAUUCUGGGCAGUGGCAGGGAGGUGCAGCUUCUAGUCUGCCGCAUGAUCACAAUGUCAGCUGGUCCCUCUUCUCAGGUGUAGAUCACCUAUUAUAAUUUUACCUAAUUUUGAUACUCUGAUAAGGAAAGUCCCAGGACUUAUCAGCUGGGAUAGGCCUCACUUACAAGACAGCUCUGUUCAGUAUUUGGAAGAAAGCCUGACAGGUUUCUUCGGAAAAGUGGCCAUCCAUGGAAUGAAUGAAAUGUUCUCUUUCUAUUCCAGGGAUUGCAGUGGCAAAGCUAGGCUAGGUCUUGGAGGCUGGUGUAAGGCGAUGUGGGUGAAGGCAGGAGGCUGAUGGAAAGACUGGGGGGAAGAAAAGCCGAAAUGGAUUCACGGUGCCUUGGAUGAAGGACGAGAGGGGAACUGCAAGCUCCUUCAACUGGUUCUGUCCGGUGAGAAGUGAUCAAGCUUGGGCUGACAAGAGGCUCAGGGAGCCCUCACGUUCUUUCGCUUUUUUACCUGCCAAUCAAACUGCUACAAGACAACACCCUGAUCUGGCAUGGACAUAGUCUUGCUGUGAUGCCCAGGCUGCUGGAGUGCAAUGGUGUGAUCUCUGCUCACUGCAACCUUUGAUUCCUGGGUUCAAGAGAUUCUCCUGCCUCAGCCUCCGAGUAGCUGGGACUACAGGCAUGUGUCACCACACCCGGCUAAUUUUUGUAUUUUUAGCAGAGACAGGGUUUCACCAUAUUGGCCAGACUGGUCCUGAACUCCUGACCUCAAGUGAUCUGCCUGCCUCGGGCUCCCAAAGUGCUGGGAUCACAGGCGUGAGCCACCGCACCUGGCUUCUUACUCCUUUUAACAACUUGAUGAGUCUCAAUACCUUCACAGAGGUGAAGAAGCAGCAACCAAAUGAAUUAGACAGCAACAUGAUUCCUAGAGAAUGGCAAGACCAAUUCUUCAACUACUUCUUCAGCAUUUCUGAAACAUAUGGAAGAUGGCCCAUUGUGCUCUCUUAAUUCUUUGAUAAUCUGGACAUUGACUUUUCCAUUAUAUGACCUGGGCUUGUGGGCAUCAUGUCAUAAUGCACCUGUUCAGACAUCUCCCUGUACCAAUAUGGAUCACUUGAAGAGACUCCUUUGCCCCCAUCAAAAAGGAUACAGUUGUGUAUCUCUUCCAUUUUUGUUUACAGUGCCUAAAAUUAUUUGAGCAGUUUUUCACCUCUUCUCUGAUAAACACCUUAUUAGUCCUUAAAAAGAAAAGAAAAAAGGAAAAUAAAACUUUUAUUGAGAUCCUAA